GAUGAAGAACGCAGCGAAAUGCGAUACGUAAUGUGAAUUGCAAAUUCAGUGAAUCAUCGAGUCUUUGAACGCACAUUGCGCCCCCUGGUAUUCCGGGGGGCAUGCCUGUCCGAGCGUCAUUGCAACCCUCAAGCGCGGCUUGUGUGUUGGGCUUCGUCCCCCCGUGGACGUGCCCGAAAGGCAGUGGCGGCGUCCCGAAUGGUGCCCGAGCGUAUGGGAACUCUCUUCCGCUCGAACCGGCCCAUUCGGCGCUGGUCGAACCCCAAUUUUUUACCGGUUGACCUCGGAUCAGGUAGGGAUACCCGCUGAACUUAAGCAUAUCAAUAAGCGGAGGA
rnacentral:misc_RNA from 1 species